GUCCCUUGAGGGACAUCCGAUAAAAAUUGGAACGAUACAGAGAAGAUUAGCAUGGCCCCUGCGCAAGGAUGACACGCACACACAUCAGGAAAUAUACCCUAAA